ensembl:ncRNA F18E2.12 ncRNA
AGCAUGACUGGAAGUGGACGAGAGAGAAUGAUGUAUUAUCAAUACGUGAAAGAGCUUGGGUUGGAGCACUUGAGACUCCUUUCCGCGCGGAAACAAAAAAACUUAGAGGUAUUAGAUCAAGAGCCAUGAGCACAGAAGGCAGAGCAAAAGAGCAAGAGUCGCAGAUGAUUGUUCAAAAUCAAAAUCAGCAGAAACAGUAACACAAAAACCAUAAAUGAAACAAGCAUUUGUCCAUGGCAUGUUUAUGAGCACGGACACAAAACCGCGUCAGAG